UACGUAGGUGACCAGCGUUGUCCGGAUUUACUGGGCGUAAAGAGCGCGCAGGCGGUCGUUCAAGUCGAGUGUGAAAGCCCACGGCUCAACCGUGGAAGUGCCUUUGAUACUGCGGGUCUGGAGGGAGGUAGGGGCGUGCGGAACUUCCGGUGGAGCGGUGAAAUGCGUAGAUAUCGGAAGGAACACCGGUGGCGAAAGCGGCGCGCUGGACCUCUACUGACGCUGAGGCGCGAAAGCCAGGGGAGCAAACGGG
rnacentral:rRNA from 1 species